UUAAGCAUAUCAAUAAGCGGAGGAAAAGAAACCAACAGGGAUUGCCCUAGUAACGGCGAGUGAAGCGGCAACAGCUCAAAUUUGAAAUCUGGCUUCGGCCCGAGUUGUAAUUUGCAGAGGAUGUUUAUGGUGCGGUACCUUCCGAGUUCCCUGGAACGGGACGCCACAGAGGGUGAGAGCCCCGUCUGGUUGGAUACUAAACCUGUGUUAAACUCCUUCAACGAGUCGAGUAGUUUGGGAAUGCUGCUCUAAAUGGGAGGUAAAUCUCUUCUAAAGCUAAAUACUGGCCAGAGACCGAUAGCGCACAAGUAGAGUGAUCGAAAGAUGAAAAGCACCUUGAAAAGGGGGUUAAACAGUACGUGAAAUUGUUGAAAGGGAAGCGUUUAUGACCAGACUUGUGUCGUGUGGCUCAUCCGAGGUUCUCCCCGGUGCACUCCACGCGGCUCAGGCCAACAUCGGUUCUUGUUGGAGGAUAAGAGCAGUAGGAACGUAGCUCUCCUUCGGGGGAGUGUUAUAGCCUAUUGUACGAUACUCUGACGGGGACCGAGGACCGCGCUUCGGCUAGGAUGUUGGCGUAAUGGUCAUUAGCGACCCGUCUUGAAACACGGACCAAGGAGUCGUCCAUUAGAGCGAGCGUUUGGGUGUAAAACCCGCACGCGUAAUGAAAGUGAAAUUAGGUGAGAGCUUCGGCGCAUCAUCGACCGAUCCUGAAGUUUACGGAUGGAUUUGAGUAAGAGUUUUAACGGACGGACCCGAAAGACAGUGAACUAUGCUUGAAUAGGGUGAAGCCAGAGGAAACUCUGGUGGAGGCUCGCAGCGGUUCUGACGUGCAAAUCGAUCGUCAAAUUGAGCA
rnacentral:rRNA from 1 species